rnacentral:rRNA from 1 species
UUCCGUAGGUGAACCUGCGGAAGGAUCAUUAUCAAAAGUCAAGUCGGGGGCUGUAAAGCUCUCGUCUACACCCAUGUCUUUUGCGUACUCUUGUUUCCUCGGUGGCGCAAGCUGCCGAUUGGACAAACCAAAACCUUUUUUGUAAUUGCAAUCAGCGUCUGAAAAUAAUCUAAUUAUUUACAACUUUCAACAACGGAUCUCUUGGUUCUGGCAUCGAUGAAGAACGCAGCGAAAUGCGAUAAGUAGUGUGAAUUGCAGAAUUCAGUGAAUCAUCGAAUCUUUGAACGCACAUUGCGCCCCUUGGUAUUCCAUGGGGCAUGCCUGUUCGAGCGUCAUUUGUACCCUCAAGCUUUGCUUGGUGUUGGGCGUCUUGUCGUAUUACGACUCGCCUUAAAUUCAUUGGCAGCGGGCACUUUGGCCUAGGAGCGCAGCACAUUUUGCGAUCGUAGCCCGUUGUACUGGCGUCCAUCAAGAACAUUUACCACGUUUGACCUCGGAUCAGGUAGGGAUACCCGCUGAAC